rnacentral:rRNA from 1 species
GGGUCAGUAGGUUGGUCGUGCCACCGGUACGUACUGGUCUGUCUGAUUCCUCCUUCCUGAAGAACCGUAAUGCCAUUAAUUUGGUGUUGCGGGGAAACAGGACUGUUACUUUGAAAAAAUUAGAGUGUUUAAAGCAAGCUAACGCUUGAAUACAUUAGCAUGGAAUAAUGAAAUAGGACGAUCGAUCCUAUUUUGUUGGUUUCUAGGAUUGACGUA